GAUCAAAGUGUAGUAUCUGUUCUCGACAGCUUAAUAUCUGUUGCGAUCUCCAAUGGGGAUCAAGAUAUUGAACUUAUUUUUAUACUGGGGUGGAUAGCUUGAGGCUUGCCUCACCUCCGCCGCGGGUUGUC
rnacentral:snRNA from 1 species